rnacentral:rRNA from 1 species
GACGAACGCUGGCGGCGUGCCUAAUACAUGCAAGUCGAACGCUUCUUUCCUCCCGAGUGCUUGCACUCAAUUGGAAAGAGGAGUGGCGGACGGGUGAGUAACACGUGGGUAACCUACCCAUCAGAGGGGGAUAACACUUGGAAACAGGUGCUAAUACCGCAUAACAGUUUAUGCCGCAUGGCAUAAGAGUGAAAGGCGCUUUCGGGUGUGGCUGAUGGAUGGACCCGCGGUGCAUUAGCUAGUUGGUGAGGUAACGGCUCACCAAGGCCACGAUGCAUAGCCGACCUGAGAGGGUGAUCGGCCACACUGGGACUGAGACACGGCCCAUACUCCUACGGGAGGCAGCAGUAGGGAAUCUUCGGCAAUGGACGAAAGUCUGACCGAGCAACGCCGCGUGAGUGAAGAAGGUUUUCGGAUCGUAAAACUCUGUUGUUAGAGAAGAACAAGGACGUUAGUAACUGAACGUCCCCUGACGGUAUCUAACCAGAAAGCCACGGCUAACUACGUG